GUGCAUCUCUUAUAUUCCUCUUAAUUAUCUUCGUUUAAUGUAUAUUGCAAUUAAUAUGCUCCAAUUAUUGGAGCAAUUAAUAAUAGAUAAACCAUAUGAUAAUUAUUACAUUUCCCAAACAGCGUUUGAAUUAUACCGAUGCUAUCAUGUUACGAUAUGAAACGUGUCUUAAUUUUACCAGCAAACGAUCGAUUAUUUGAAAUAAAUAUAAAUCACGUGCAAUUCAUUUUCGUCUCUCGAACGAAAUUUUCAUCGGAAUUUUUACAAUUUCACAAUUUUUCAUAUCCGCUUGAAAUGAUCAGCAAUGAUCCGACAAUAAUCACUCCAUAGUAGACGUUCAAUAUCUCUCAAUAAACAGAGACACGAAGCAUCCCCGAAAUCACUCCAAUUCACCCUCCCUCCCCGAUUCAAAUCACCUAUCACAUUUCCUGCCUACCAAAAUUCCCCACGUCCCAAUAAACCAAGCCGGCCAUUCGUCAAAUCCCGAGUCGCGAUUCCUCCCCUUCCAACUCGGUUCAUAAUUCUCCGCAAAAAUGAGCCCCCCGGAUCUCGGCUAAGUGUAUCGAAUAGGCGUUGCAUAAUAAUCAGCCGAUCGAACGUCGAUGUCAUAGACGUACAAUUAAACGUAUAGCGACGUCAGUGUUCCCGAAGCCCGUUCAACACGACAGGUUUACGUUCGACCCAGAAUACCACCAUCGUUAGUUAAGCUGCGUUCACGAGAUCGUUGCGACACGUGCGCACAUUAUACGUGUAUCGAGAGGUGAGGCACCAGGGUGUUCAUGCAUGUGUGUGAUGUGUAAGAAAAUUUUAAGAUCUAUCUAAGGGACUAGGGAAUUGUACAUGAUGGAAUUGUGUACGUAUAUAUGCAGAAAUUUUAUUUAUUCGUAAUAUACGUUUAAAAUAUGAUUUUGCAUAAAUAUUUUCUUUUUUGUUAUUACAAUCCUCUGUACCAAUUGUCGAGUCGGUAUCCAAUAUCGGAAUUUUCAGAGUGAAAUUUUAUAUUAUAUUCACGUCUUUUAGAAUUAUUCUUUUUUUUUUUCUACGUGACGAAUGUUUGAACACUGUGUGUGUAUAUGUAUUUGGGAGUAUGGUAGUUAGUUAGGGUGAAAGAGGAGAUCCAUGGUUGACCAUGGCAUGGCAAGACCCACCGCGUCGACCGGAAGAUUUAUAGGCUUUUGUAAGGCUACACACCGAUCUGACCUAAGUGCAAUUAAGAGAGCAAAUGGUGAGGGACGUGCACGCCUUGGAUAGCGCGACGUGUGCGGCUCUAGCACGAACUGGACGAAUAUGAGUCGACAUGUUUUGGAUAAAAUAGAAUAUACCCAUUGUGUUAAUUCGAGUGGAAGAUUCAUACUUAUUAACGUAUGGCCCCUGUAAGUGUAAAAUGGAAAAGGAAUCGGAUGUGAAUUGAGAGAAUAUGGUGUGAUGAUUACAACAACGAUAUAUUUGAAGAAACAAUUUUAGAUAAUUUGUUAAUUUUUAUCUUUUCAUUCUUUCACAUUUUCUUUUUUAAAUAAACCUAUAUGAUGUAAUUGAAAAGUUAAACAUAUUAAGAAUUAUCGUUAUCGUUAUUAUUAUUUUCUAAUAAAAGGAUUUAUUCUUCUCAAUUUAUAUUUUAAUUAAUACAGAAUGAGAAGUGCACUCGUGAAAAAGGAAUUGAAGGCGUACGUACGAAAAAUUCAAAAUAAUUCAAACGCAUCGCUAGAUUAAGUCUCCGUUAAAAUACCGGAAGCUCUCCUCCACCACACUACUAUCUCGGCUCACGCAAUAAAAUUUGAUCCAUCUCACGUUUCGUCAACCCGGUACAAGACCGUGAAAUUUUAAUUAAUACUUUUACAACCGGCGCGAAUACGAGCGUUCCAGGUCGGAAGUCUGUUUCGUAGGUGUCCACUGCGGAGCGGCCAUCGCGGUUAAAAAAAAAAAGAAAGAAAAAAAAAAGAAAAAAACGCGCACGAGGACAUUCGACGACCGGUCGUAUCGGGUGACGCCAUAUAUUUGGAUCAACUACACUUAAACCGUGGCUAACGAAGCCGUUGUCCCGUGUCUCCUCCGUGUGGAGGGGAAAAAAAUUGUAACCAGGAAGCCCGGGAAGAUAGACGGAAAAAAUAGACUGUUCUGAGUCGCGAUCAGAGCAUCUGCCUACGAACGAAAAUAUCCGAACAAAUUGAACUUAGAACACCCGGUUGUUGAUGGUGCACGAAUAGGUCGGAUGAUUUGGAAAAUUGGGACAAAGCGUUUAGACCAUUUCCACCAGUUUUUCGAAUGAUGGACGAUGGACUUGUCAGUCGAUCCUAUCGAUUAAUUAUAUGGACGAUUACGAUGAUUUUUUGAACUUUGAAAGAAGAAAUUGUAAAUGUAGAUACAAGAAACGAUGACAGUGAUUCAUUUCUCUAUUUGGUAUGCUAUAUUUAACUUUGUAACUAACGAUUAUAUCACGUAAGAUCUGGUUCUCGUUCGAUCACCAAAGUUAAGCUACGUCGGACACAAUCAAUACUACUUGGAUGGGUGAUUGCUCGGGAACAUCAUGUGUUGUUGGUAUUUAUUUUUUGAUUCAUUGAAAUAUUAUUAAUAAAAUUAUUAUUAAAAAUUACAGAAAAUAAAUGAAACGAGAUAUUGCUUCACAACGUAAUUUAUUUGCCGCAAUUUAAAAGUAAAUACAAAAA